rfam:Gossypium raimondii Chr12_contig_434, whole genome shotgun sequence.
CUCAAGGAAGCGCUUUGUCCACGUGGACAGAAAAGGCGUCAUUGAGGGCACGCUUUCUGUCCACGUGGGCAAAGCGCUUUCUUGAGG